rnacentral:lncRNA from 1 species
GUUUUCUGGAAUACCAAGUUAAAAACGUGAGCCGAACUAAACAUGCCAUACACAUGCUGAUAAGAAUUUAACACACAUUCAUCCGUAUGGGCACUCUUCAGUAGACUGGACCAGUGUUUCAAUGCAAAUUCCAGCCCCCAGAGAACUACAUGGUUUAGAUUUCACAGUAUGACUUCUCCCCUGUAAUCUGGGAAAAAAAACUUAACUGGUUAAUUGACCGAGUUCUUAGCUACUCUGUCCAUCAACGUUCUGAGACAUCAGAAAAGACUGGACCACUUCUUCAGUGGAUUGAGGACUGCUGCUUACAUCCUCCAGAGCAUCUGUAACUGAGAACUGCCGAUCCCGCAACCGGUUCCAAUUGGCCAAAAUAUUGUGGUACUCAAAAACUUUCUCAUAAUUGCCAACGGAAUUGUACAGUUUAAUGAGACCUCUGUAAUCAUAUUCAAGUCCACUGUAUCCUUCACCAAAAAGCUUCUUUCCAAUUGCUAUGGAUCUCAAAUAAAGCUUUUCAGCAUUUUCAUACUGAUUCAUAUCAUAGUUAUAGAGAGAAGCUAGAUGUCCCACUGACAGUGCAACUUCAUAAUCCUCUUGACCCAGGAGCUGC